rnacentral:misc_RNA from 1 species
UUCCGUAGGUGAACCUGCGGAAGGAUCAUUCACAAUAAGAAGUGUUUAUGGCACUCUUCAAAAAAUCCAUACCCACCUUGUGUGCAAUGUAAAAAGAGAGAGUGUGUAAAAAAAGUCUAACGAUGCAAAUCGUUUUUAGGCUUUUUUUCUGCUUUCUUCUUUUCAAUUUUAAUAUACACUUUUCUAUAAUACGAUUGUCUGAAAAUGUUAGAGAAUUGACUAAAUUCUAAAACAUAACUUUCAACAACGGAUCUCUUGGCUCUCGCAUCGAUGAAGAACGCAGCGAAAUGCGAUACGUAAUGUGAAUUGCAGAAUUCAGUGAAUCAUCGAAUCUUUGAACGCAUAUUGCGCUCUUUGGUAUUCCGAAGAGCAUGCUUGUUUGAGUAUCAGUAAACACCUCAACCAAAAUUCUAUUUUUUGAAUUUUGGAUGGAUUUGAGCAAACCCAACGGCAAAUGCGCCUAGCAAAUGCGGCGGGUUGCUUGAAAUGCAGGUGCAGCUGUGACAAGAACAGACUGAGCUAAAAGCAUAUCUAUUUAGUCCGUUUCGGCGGAUUAUUUCUAAUUUGCUGCAGCUACUCUAAGGUCCUCUUGUGUGAGCUGACUGAUGCAGGAUUUUGUUAGAAGGCCUUGGUCUUCUUUCAAAAACUCGAUCUCAAAUCAAGUAAGACUACCCGCUGACCUUAAGCAU